ensembl:lncRNA
GGUGCGGAGUAGUUGUUCGUUUAAAACCAUCUGAGGCUGGAGUCUGAAGGGCAAUCUUUAAACAGCGAUAGUGAAAUGUUUUUGCUUCUAAAUGCAUUUAUUUUUAUAAAUAGUUUUAUUUGGUAAGUAAAUUUAUAAAAUGAUAAUUCUUUGCAGCCCAGGAAUCUUUUUUUUUUUUUGGAGGGGGGCGCUUACGACCACCUGACCUGUUUUUCUCCUGCAGUGUCAGUACUCUGUCCUGCAGGGGGCGCUGCUGUCACAUUUCACUCACCUACACCACCGAAGCAAUGUGAUCAGUAAUGGCCUCUUUCUGUUAACACCAAAAGCUCGUUUAGCUUUAACGGUUCCCAUUUUUUCUACCGAAACGUCAUUAAUGUUGGAGUUUCACUGUUCUUGGUCCGAGUGGCUCUUAGCUUAAAAAUGAAAAAUCUUUCCACGAUGUAAAAGAAGAAGCUCUCGUUUUCCACGGCAAUAACACUUGGAGAGACUGCAGAAUGAAUCAACGUGAGUGGAAAGAUGCUGUCCACAGACUCCAGAGACUUCUGGAGCCAAGCCGCCACAGCAUGGGGAAUGCCUCCAGAGGUUACAGAGAGUGGGACACUUACCACGAACACUCGAGAUAUACUGUUCCUGAACCACAUAGGAGUGAUGUGAGGUGGAAAGAGCUCAGUUCUUCAUCUCAUCAUGUUCAUAGUAAAGUCCCAGAGGUGGAGGACCCGGACGGAGAGCCGCUGCCAUACAGUGAAGAGGAUGUAGAGCUAGCAAGAAACAAGCAGCUCCUCAGAGAGAUGGAGGAGAGAAUUAUGCACAAGAAAGCUACACUCGCCACGAAAACGCGGUUUGUGGAGACACCACCAGGUGUUUCCGGUGACGAGCCUCCGGCUAUGUGUGUAGGUCAAACUCUAAGAGACAGAGUGAAGGAGAUUCUGAUGCAGCGACAAUACCUCAGCUAUUUCUCAAAGGUGAGGAGCACUGAAUAGACUCUCAGAGUAAAGUGUGUUUCUUUUUUUUUCACGACCCACCUGAUCCCCUUAGAAUCAGAUGUUUUUGUUCUUUUUUUUGUUUUUGUUUAUUUGGAUAACAAAAAAUAUGACCUUCAUAUUAUAAAUACUUGAGAUUUAGAUGAAGUAGGGUACAUAGGAUUUUUGCCUUAUUUUUUUUAUACAGGGAAUAUCUACAUGAGAUUUUCAGUGCUGAAAAACACAGGGCCUAAUAUAAAAUAAAAGAAAUGAAACCUCAUCACUUGUAGACUCGUACUGACUCACUGUCACAAUUUCAAAAAUCUCGUUCAUGUGUAAAGCUUUCUUUUUCUAUUAUUCAGGUGCAGUCGGCCAGAGAGAGAAGGAGCUCCUCCUGCCCGAGCAAAGGCGGUGUGCUGCAGGAACAGCAUCCUCUGAAGCUCAGAGUGAAGGUUCUAAUGAAGAAGAGACACACUGUUGUACCACCUUACAGUGAACAGGGCCCUGACGUUGCGUGGCCUCUUUCCAGCCCAAGCGUUACAUCACCGGCUAAGAGAGAGGACGUCAUCAACAAGGGUUUCGAGUGCUUCCUCAGCGUGCUCAACAAAGGAGUCGACAUCAACUUGCUCAAACCUGAGGAUGACUGUGGCGAGGUCCCUGGUGUGUCACUGCCACCUCUCGGCCGAAGCAUUUCUUCACCAGCAAAGGAUGAAAAUAAUGUCAACAAGGGUUUUGAGCGCUUCCUCAGCAUCCUCAACAAAGGCGUGGACAUCGAAAAGUUUAACAAGAUUAUGAGCAAUGAUAGAGAGGAUCUUCCUUUAGGUGAGGAGCCCCUGAACAUUCAGAUCCCUGACAUGGAGAGCAAAUCAGAUCCACCCUUUAGGACUGAGAAGCAACAGCUGAAUAGUGGAGCUUCGCUGCUGGGCCUCAGACAGCCCAGUGAAAGUAUACUCAGCAUGGACAAUGACAUUGAGCCGAGCCCCACCCAGAGAAAGGAAAGCCAACGGUUGUUUAGUGGUGCCUCACUGCAAGGUCUCAGCCCACCCAGUGAAAACCAGUGCUCAAACAGUAGAGCCAUUCUGUUACUCAGCCAGGCCAGUGAGAGCCAGUGGUCGAAGACUGAAGCCUCGUUGAAAGGCUUCAGCCAUCCCAGCAAGAGUAUUGGCAGCGGUGCCUCACAGCCAGUACUCAGCAAAGCCAGUGACAGUGAGCGGGCAGGCAGUGGAGCCCUGCUGACAGACUUCAACCACGCCAGUGAAAGCCAACAGUUAAAUACCGGAGCCUCACUGUCAGGCUUCAGCCUACCUAGCGAGAACCAGCACUCAAAAACUAGACCCAUUCUUCUAAGCCACGGAUGGGAAAGUGAGAGCCAUCGAUCGAAGAGUGGAUCCUCACUGAAGGAUCUCAGUCAGAAAAAUGAGAGUCUACUCAGUACAGCCAAUGAAGGUGAACCGGGCCUCAACCAGUCAAAGGAAAGCCAACGAUUAAAUACUGGAGCCUCGCUGAGGGGCCUCAGCCAGUCCAGUGAAGGUACUGGCAGUGGUGCUCCACAGCCUGGACUCAACAAAGCCAAAGACAGUGUGCGGUCAGACAGUGGAGUCCGGCUGACGGGCCUCAGCCAAGCCAAUGAAAGCCAACAGUUAAAUACUGGAGCCACAUCACCCAGUGAGAACCAACUCUCAAACACUAAGCCCAUUAGGCUGAACCUCAACUGGGCAAGCAAGAGCCAGUCGUUGAAAAGUGGACCCUUGCUGAAGGGUCUCAACCAGGACAGUAAGAGCCAGCAUUUAAAGAGUGGUGCCCUAAUUCCCGGGCUCGGUGAUGACAGUGACAGCGAGUCAAAUGGUAGAAACCUGCUGGCAGGCCUCAACAAGACCAACAGUAGAGAGAAAAAGACUGACUCAUCUACUCGAGAGAGGCUCUUCUUACCUGGUGAGGAGGAGGAGAAGAAGAAGAAGAGCAAAAGAGACCACAGUUUGGGCUCUAGUAAUCGAUUAAAGUCUCCGGUGGCACUGAAGAAGAAGGAGGAGGAAGAAACCUCAUCGGUGAGUGAGCAGCAUGAACAGCUGCAGAGCAUUCUUAAAACUCUGGGAUGGAACCUGGACGUGGACGAGCUGAGCAAACUGGCAAACCGCACUCAGGAGAGGCUGUGCGGGAGAAAAAACGAACGUGUGAACAGCAAAGAGGAGCACGAGAGCCGCCAGAAGCACUCUCGUGACCGAGAUCGCAGGAAGUCCUCAUCAGGCUCUCCUCUGCGGAGCAGCAAAACAGACCAGAGUCAGGAGAGAAUGCAUGGGAGCAAGAGCGAAGGGAGGGUGAGGAAGAGUGAAGGGAGGAGGAGGACUGAGAGCAGAGGGGAGGACGAGACACAGCAGAGGCGCUCUCUUAGAGAUCACAGAAAUUCCUCGUCCUCAUCUUCCUCCAGGUCAACCUCUAGAAGCUCUAGCCCGAGCCCCUCAUGCCGUCGACGCUCUCGCAGCAGAGAUUUGAAACGGAGGCGGAAGGCCGAACGAAGCCGCUCGCGAGAAAGAAGCAGAGAGAGACUGAAACACAGAGAUCGAUGGAACAGCAGAGAAACACUGAGGGACAGAGAGCGAAAAGACUCAAAACAUUUUUCUGCUUAUCCAUAUUCACAAAAUCCCGUGUUUCCUCAUCCUGCUGCUUCUCCAUAUCCAGACUACAUUUUGUCUCAGUACUCGCAUUUUGCUCUUAGCCAGAGUGGCCACUACAGCGGUGCUACAAAUCCUUACUGGUCAUACAAUCAGUACAACACUCCUCCCUCUCUUUCUGCCAGCAGCCAACCUUACCCGCACUUUCCUGGCUCUGUAGUGGCACCUAACAUGGCUUUCCCUGAUCCCAGCCUUCUUACAAACAGUGCCUCGUUUCCAAACCCGGACCUGUCUGUGAGCGAAGGCCAAGAUGGGUCAGCCUCUGUUUCUCGCUGCCUGAGAGUCAUCAAUACCGAGCAGGCAUCCUCUCAGAGCCUCACAGGUGGACACAACUGGAGACGGGGUCGCAAAAAACUUAUGGGAGAUUUCAGGAAUCCCAAAAGUAUUUUAGAGAAACACAAUAAUGCAUUGAAGACACCACUGGCACCACAGGACUCAAAGGUAUGCACCAAGACUGUGGGUAAUGACCCCUGCACUGAGGAGUUAAAAGAGGAGAAGCCACAGCUAACAGAGGAGGAAAUAAAGGCGAACCUGAGGAAAAAGCUUGAAGCUUUUAACCAGAAGGUAAAGAACACGAGCCAGAUGCCUCAGUCCAAAGUCAUGCAGCCGGCAAACUCCCUGAUCUCUGAGAUAGACUGAACGAAGUAAGUAUAUUCAAAGGAAAAUUAAAGGAUAAUUCCACUUCAGCCUGGCACGUUUCCUAUGAUUCAUAGUUAAAAGGUUAUUCUGGUUCUGCAGGUUACAGUUCUCCAUCUUUGUUUUUGAGCACUGGCUGAACAAUCACGCACAGCUCGUGCAGCGUGACUGUAAUAUUAAAGCCUGAACCAUGAAAUCAUUUCAGAAAUGUAAAUUUGUUGAAAUUGGAAUGUUUGUUGAACCUUCUGUCUGUAAAAAAAAUCAACUUUUGUUACAGCCGGCAUAUUUUUGCAGGUUAUUGCUCUCAGUAGCGUUGCAUGUCCCAGUGCGGCUCCAGUUCUUCCUUUGGAGAGAACCAGCUCACUUUUCCAAAGGUUUACGUGCUGAUGGUUACGUGCAGUUCUUUGCAGAACUGGGGUUCAAUUUUUUUUUUAAUGAAAUCUGUUGGCAGCAAGUGCUGAUUUCAUGCAGCAGAGCCACUAUCAGCAGUGGUUUCAGCAUUAGCACAGCUUCAGUGAAAAAGAGCUGCAUGUCUUUAAGUCCUGAAAAAUUCUUGUUGAAUUUACAUUUUUCUUUAACUGCUUGCUGAUGUAAAUGUGUUUGAUCCUGUCUGCUAACUAUUUUUCCCCCUUUUUCCAGGCGUCUGUGUCCGGUGAAGAUUUUUAUUUUUUCAGCCUUGUUCACAUGUAAUGUUUAAUUCUUCCUCUACAUUUGUCCCUGACCUCCAACGCCUUUCUGUCAUCUGAAAUAGAUUUUUGCACAGUUCAUUAUUGGUCUGCUUUCAUGUUUUAGCUCUGUGCUUCUGUGAAUGUCACCAGUUUUGUUUAAUGUUGAUUACAAGAACUAUUUUUUGUAGGCCGUACUGGUUAGUUUGUUAAUGAGAAAUGUAUAUUUUCAUCGUUAAAAAUGUUUCAGCCUGUACAGUUUCCAGUUUUACAUUCACUCUGUCACACUAAUAAAGAAAUCUUACAAAAAC